UCUUUUUUGUGAUGUAGAUGUCCAGCAUUCUUUCCAGCCCUUCGAAGGUGAUCUUCGGUUUUCGGGCCUUCCGUCUCGCGCUACUUUAAUUAGAUGGUCCUCCUCUAUUCUUGACGUGCUCUUCUCCUCGCUUGUAUCCAUCCCCGUCACGAAAAGUGUCAAUGACGCGCGUUCGUUUGACACAAUCGGAUUAGUGUUGCCCGAUAUAUGACCAUCAACACCAUCUAGUGACAAAAAACCGCGGAUACUUUUUAGAUGACCCAAUAUAGAAAAUGCCCGGCUGCGUGCCUUAUUGCGUGCCUUAUAAUAGUACCAAAAAAGAAUUUUUGAUAAGGAGUUUUCUAUCAAAUGUAAAUCAAAGGGCGAAAUGGAUAGAAAAUAUUAAUAUCCACAGUGGUUAUCGAAAAUGGCAAUCAACAAAAAAUUUAUUUGUAUGCGAAAUCCACUUUUCGAUAGAAAUGUGGGAAAAAAUAUGAGUGGAUGGGAAAAAAACUAAAAGCCAAUGCCAUUCUAACAAUCUUUUAUCCUCUUCAAAAUAAAGACAUUCCAACUAUGGAAAGAAGCGCAGAUAUUAUUUGUGAUGGAAAUAUAAUACAAUCAAAUAAUAUUCUCGAGAUUCCUUCAUCUUCAUUAAAACGACCUUUCACAAAUUUUGAUAAAAAUGUAGUUAAUGCAAAAAGAUUGCGAAAAAGUGAAAAUGAAGUAAAUAUUUUGACAAA
rnacentral:misc_RNA from 1 species